ACCCCUACGGGGGGCAGCAGUGGGGAAUAUUGCACAAUGGGCGCAAGCCUGAUGCAGCCAUGCCGCGUGUGUGAAGAAGGCCUUCGGGUUGUAAAGCACUUUCAGUCGUGAGGAAGGGGUGUACGUUAAUAGCGUGCAUCUUUGACGUUAGCUGCAGAAGAAGCACCGGCUAACUCCGUGCCAGCAGCCGCGGUAA
rnacentral:rRNA from 1 species